UUUGAAAGGUUUUAUUCUUUUUUUUUUUUUUUGCCUGAACAAAGUUUUUUAUUUUUACGAUCUCUCUCAAUUUUGCAUCAAGACUUCCCAACAAUCCUGAUUGAAAUAUGUCUCUUUACACAGGAAAUUAAUCCAGAUUGUUGUCGCACUAAUAAGCGUAAAACAUUUUACCAUGUAAAACAAAUGAUUACACAAGAUGGCUGACUUACAAGACUCACUAUGACGGACAAUCAUUCCAGGCUUUUGAUUAUUUAUCGGUAUUAAAGGUUACCAAAACUACAUUUUUGGAUUAGAUGGUGUUAUUUUUAUUCAACCAAUGCUAGAAAACUUACUAAUAUCUGAGGAUGGUUUUAUUUCUGUAAAUUGACAAAGUUUAAAAAAUAUAUCCUUUUUAAAAUAAUUUUCUAACAAAGUAGCAAGCAUGGAUAUACAUUUUCUUAAACUUAUUUUGGUGAUCCAUUGUUAUAUCACAUAAAUACUUCUAAUACUUGUAAUCUUUCUGUGUACAUGUUCAGUUUUAAUAUCAAUGUUUCCAUCAUCAAGUUUAGUUGUCAAAUAGUUGAAUAGUACCACCAAAACAAGAAAAAACAAAAAUAUCUAUAAAAAAAAAAAAAACACUUUGUCUCCGUGAGUCUUCUGUCACUAUUUAAAACACUAUGCAGGAAUAAAAUGAUUGAGAGAGGACAUCAAUGAGUCAUGGAUACAUAAGUUUGAAACAAAAAUACAAGACAUGCAUAGCAAGCAAUGAAAUGAAUUCAAGGAGGAAAAACAUAACAGCAGAAAUAAAUACUUGGCCAGAUUUUUAAAGCAGAAAUAAAUACUUGGCCAGAUUUUUA